UACGAAGGGGGCUAGCGUUGCUCGGAAUCACUGGGCGUAAAGGGCGCGUAGGCGGGCCUUUAAGGCAGGGGUGAAAUCCUGGAGCUCAACUCCAGAACUGCCUUUGAUACUGAAGAUCUUGAGUUCAGGAGAGGUGAGUGGAACUGCGAGUGUAGAGGUGAAAUUCGUAGAUAUUCGCAAGAACACCAGUGGCGAAGGCGGCUCACUGGCCCGAUACUGACGCUGAGGCACGAAAGCGUGGGGAGCAAACAGG
rnacentral:rRNA from 1 species